UACGAAGGGGGCUAGCGUUGCUCGGAAUUACUGGGCGUAAAGCGCACGUAGGCGGCUUCUUAAGUCGGUGGUGAAAUCCUGGAGCUCAACUCCAGAACUGCCUUCGAUACUGGGAAGCUCGAGUCCGGGAGAGGUGAGUGGAACUGCGAGUGUAGAGGUGAAAUUCGUAGAUAUUCGGAAGAACACCAGUGGCGAAGGCGGCGACCUGGGUCGACACUGACGCUGAGGCGCGAAAGCGUGGGGAGCGAACAGG
rnacentral:rRNA from 1 species